rnacentral:rRNA from 1 species
ACUCCUACGGGAGGCAGCAGUGGGGAAUAUUGCACAAUGGGGGAAACCCUGAUGCAGCCAUGCCGCGUGUGUGAAGAAGGCCUUCGGGUUGUAAAGCACUUUCAGUAGGGAGGAAGGUAGUGUAGUUAACACCUGCAUUAUUUGACGUUACCUACAGAAGAAGCACCGGCUAACUCCGUGCCAGCAGCCGCGGUAAUACGGAGGGUGCGAGCGUUAAUCGGAAUUACUGGGCGUAAAGCGCAUGCAGGCGGCCUGUUAAGUCAGAUGUGAAAGCCCGGGGCUUAACCUCGGAAUUGCAUUUGAAACUGGCAGGCUAGAGUCUUGUAGAGGGGGGUAGAAUUUCAGGUGUAGCGGUGAAAUGCGUAGAGAUCUGAAGGAAUACCAGUGGCGAAGGCGGCCCCCUGGACAAAGACUGACGCUCAGAUGCGAAAGCUGGGGGAGCAAACAGGAUUAGAUACCCUGGUAGGAUAGCG